GGGCGGCCCGGGCCCCACGCUCAGCUUCGUGGGCAAGCGCAGAGGCGGAAACAAACUAGCCCUCAAGACGGGAAUAGUAGCCAAGAAGCAGAAGACGGAGGAUGAGGUAUUAACAAGUAAAGGUGAUGCAUGGGCCAAGUACAUGGCAGAAGUGAAAAAGUACAAAGCCCACCAGUGCGGUGAUGAUGAUAAAACUCGGCCCCUGGUGAAAUGACCCCCUUCCCCCGUCUGCCCACGGCCUGGGACUCUCUGCGAUGUACAUAACUAUUUAAUGCGGCAGCGGCGGCGGCGGCAGCCCUUCCCCCCAAGGACUUAAACACAGAAGGAAACCAAGAUGCUUCCCGCAGCCGCGGACGAUCCUCCAGGACUCUUUUUUACCUUGAGCACUUGCCUCCUGAGACUUCAUAGAACAGUGGUUUACUGUCCCCUCUCUUCCCACCUCCUCGCUCUCUCUGGCUCUUUCUGUCUUCCUUGUCUCGCCCUCCCUUCCUCCUUCCCUUAGCCAUCACUUCUGGGAAGUAAAGAACUUGACUUAGUGCCGGA